GUUACAGACACUGGGGCUUACAGAGUUUAGGGCUGCUUCCCAGCUAUGGAGAACCAGUAAGAUUAACACAUGAUCUAGUUGCUAAGGCUGUGUUGGUGACUUUUACUCCCUGCUGCCUAUCUGUGAAGAUGGUACUUGAUAUCAAUUAUGCUUUCAGAAGUGGAAAAAGAAGAAGGAGAGGAAGAAGAAAAAGAAAGGAGGAGAAGCAGGAGGAGCAACAGCAGCAGCUGCAGCAGCUGCAGUAGCCAAAGUAUCCUCUGCCUUUUAGCAUCCCAAACACACCCUAAGAAUUCUGCACACGAAGAUUCAGCAGAGAUCCAGGCAUGGAAAUGAUUUUAAGUGAGCCUGACAGACACUCGAUAGCAUGUGGAAUUUUCAGCUCUGACUUACUCAGAGAGCCUCGUGUUGGCCCAAGAAGCUCUCGGCUUGCAUUCCUGCAUGGUGGACUAUAUGACAAAAAUGGACACAAUUUACUUUGAAAGGAAAUUUUUGUUGAGGCAAAGAAUAAAAAAAUGUUUAAAAAACUAUAA
rnacentral:lncRNA from 1 species